AUUUCUUCGGAAUGAAGUUUUAGUGACUGAGUGGCGGACGGGUGAGUAACGCGUGGGUAACCUGCCUCACACAGGGGGAUAACAGUUGGAAACGGCUGCUAAUACCGCAUAAGCGCACAGUACCGCAUGGUACAGUGUGAAAAAACUCCGGUGGUGUGAGAUGGACCCGCGUCUGAUUAGCUAGUUGGCAGGGCAACGGCCUACCAAGGCGACGAUCAGUAGCCGACCUGAGAGGGUGACCGGCCACAUUGGGACUGAGACACGGCCCAAACUCCUACGGGAGGCAGCAGUGGGGAAUAUUGCACAAUGGGGGAAACCCUGAUGCAGCGACGCCGCGUGAGCGAAGAAGUAUUUCGGUAUGUAAAGCUCUAUCAGCAGGGAAGAAGAAAUGACGGUACCUGACUAAGAAGCACCGGCUAAAUACGUGCCAGCAGCCGCGGUAAUACGUAUGGUGCAAGCGUUAUCCGGAUUUACCUGGGUGUAAAGGGAGCGCAGGCGGAAGGCUAAGUCUGACGUGAAAGCCCGGGGCUCAACCCCGGUACUGCAUUGGAAACUGGUCAUCUAGAGUGUCGGAGGGGUAAGUGGAAUUCCUAGUGUAGCGGUGAAAUGCGUAGAUAUUAGGAGGAACACCAGUGGCGAAG
rnacentral:rRNA from 1 species